GACGGAUGGGCAUGCGGCGCAUUAGGUAGUUGGUAGGGUAACGGCCUACCAAGCCGACGAUGCGUAGGGGUUCUGAGAGGAAGGUCCCCCACAUUGGAACUGAGACACGGUCCAAACUCCUACGGGAGGCAGCAGUGAGGAAUAUUGGUCAAUGGCCGGAAGGCUGAACCAGCCAAGUCGCGUGAGGGAAUAAGGCCCUAUGGGUCGUAAACCUCUUUUGUCAGGGAGCAAAGGCGUCCACGUGUGGACGAGAGGAGAGUACCUGAAGAAAAAGCAUCGGCUAACUCCGUGCCAGCAGCCGCGGUAAUACGGAGGAUGCGAGCGUUAUCCGGAUUUAUUGGGUUUAAAGGGUGCGUAGGCGGAGUGUCAAGUCAGCGGUAAAAUUUCGGGGCUCAACCCCGUCGUGCCGUUGAAACUGACACCCUUGAGUGAGUGAGAAGUAAGCGGAAUGCGUGGUGUAGCGGUGAAAUGCAUAGAUAUCACGCAGAACGCCGAUUGCGAAGGCAGCUUACCGGCGCUCAACUGACGCUGAGGCACGAAAGUGCGGGUAUCGAACAGGAUUAGAUACCCUGGUAGUCCGCACAGUAAACGAUGAAUGCUAGAUGUCCGGGGCGAAUGAGCUCUGG
rnacentral:rRNA from 1 species